rnacentral:rRNA from 1 species
ACCCAAACUCUUAUGUCUUUAGUGGUUUUCUCCUCUGAGUGACACAUAAACAAAUAAAUAAAAACUUUCAACAACGGAUCUCUUGGUUCUGGCAUCGAUGAAGAACGCAGCGAAAUGCGAUAAGUAAUUCUGGCGGGCAUGCCUGUUCGAGCGUCAUUU